CGAUGUCUGCUGCUGGCGCUUGGGUGGUCGGCUCCGGGGUGUCCGAAGUUUUUCCCAGAGUGGCGUCCUUUGUGGUCUGGCGUUGUCCGCUGGUUUUCUGGAUUGCGCUCAUGCUUCGGGUAGGCUGAUGCCCAGUGCGGCAGCGAAGGGCGCCAUUUUUGAGGUAUCUUGCAGGACGUGGGUACUAUCAUGUUGGCGGACUAGUAGCUUGAAGGGGUGUCCCCAUCGGUAUGGUAUGUUGGCUUGUGCCAGUGCGCUGGUUAGGGGUUUGAGCUCUCUGCGUUUCAUUAAUGUGGUAGGUGAGACGUCUUGGUAAAACUGAAGAGUGAUGGCGUCAAAUUUUGGCGGAGUUUUUCGUGUGGCCGCCAUGAUGGCUUCUUUAAAGGUAAAGUAGUGAAGGCGUACUAUGACGUCUCGGGGCGCUAUUUGGUUUUGGCUAGGGGGUUUGAGGGCUCUGUGCGCCCGGUCUAUGGCGAGGUCUUGUGGCGUUGCCUCUGGAAGGAUUGUAAGAAACAAUUCACGCAGCGUGGAGAGCAGCAUAUCAGGCGUGACUGUUUCGGGGAGGCCUCUAAUCCUUAUGUUGUUACGCCUAGAGCGAUUAUUUAAGUCUUCCAUACCUGUCUCUAAUUCUUCCACUUUGUUCCUCAGUGUAGUGAGCUCAGCUUGGUGCAUAUUGAGGUUUUCAAGGAGUUCAUCUGCCCUCUGCUCCACCUGCCCUGUCCUCUCCCCCAGGUCAGCCAGGUCAGCCUUCAGGAGUUGCAGCUGUUUUCCAAUUUCUGCCGCCAUAUGUGUCUUUAUAUCUGCUGCAGCUUCUUGCAGCAGUAGUUGCAGGUCCCUCUUGGUGAUCGGUGUGGAAGCUGAGCCUGCUGCCUCACUGCGGUCUGAGUCGGAUGCAGAGUCUUCCCGCUGUUGUGGGGAAGAUGGCGUCUGGCCUCGUGGUUGCCGGAAC